GACGAACGCUGGCGGCGUGCUUAACACAUGCAAGUCGAACGGUGAAGGGACCAGCUUGCUGGUUCUGGAUGAGUGGCGAACGGGUGAGUAACACGUGAGUAACCUGCCCCCUUCUUCUGGAUAACCGCAUGAAAGUGUGGCUAAUACGGGAUAUUCUGGGUCUGUCGCAUGGCGGGCCCGGGAAAGAUAUUGCUUCGGUGGGGGAUGGGCUCGCGGCCUAUCAGCUUGUUGGUGGGGUGAUGGCCUACCAAGGCGGUGACGGGUAGCCGGCCUGAGAGGGUGGACGGUCACACUGGGACUGAGACACGGCCCAGACUCCUACGGGAGGCAGCAGUGGGGAAUAUUGCACAAGGGGCGCAAGCCUGAUGCAGCGACGCCGCGUGAGGGAUGGAGGCCUUCGGGUUGUAAACCUCUUUCGCCAGUGAAGCAGGCCUGCUCCUUGUGGGUGGGUUGACGGUAGCUGGAUAAGAAGCGCCGGCUAACUACGU
rnacentral:rRNA from 1 species